GAUGAACGCUAGCGGCGGGCUUAAUACAUGCAAGUCAAGGGGCCAGCAAUGGCACCGGCGGACGGGUGAGUAACGCGUACACAACGUACCUUUAACUGGGGGAUAGCAUCUGGAAACGGGUGGUAAUACCGCAUGUGGUUGCGGGGAGGCAUCUCCUUGUAACUAAAACUUUGGUGGUUAGAGAUCGGUGUGCGUCUGAUUAGCUAGUUGGUAGGGUAGAGGCCUACCAAGGCGACGAUCAGUAGGGGGCUGAGAGCGUGAACCCCCCACACGGGUACUGAGACACGGACCCGACUCCUACGGGAGGCAGCAGUAAGGAAUAUUGGUCAAUGGAGGGAACUCUGAACCAGCCAUGCCGCGUGAAGGAAGAAGGCGCUACGCGUUGUAAACUUCUUUUGGGUGGGACGAAAAUAAUCCAUUUAUGGAUAGCUGACGGUACCAUCAGAAUAAGCACCGGCUAACUCCGUGCCAGCAGCCGCGGU
rnacentral:rRNA from 1 species